rnacentral:rRNA from 1 species
GACGAACGCUGGCGGCGUGCUUAACACAUGCAAGUCGAACGGAAAGGCCCUGCUUUUGUGGGUGCUCGAGUGGCGAACGGGUGAGUAACACGUGAGUAACCUGCCCUUGACUUUGGGAUAACUUCAGGAAACUGGGGCUAAUACAGGAUAGGAGCUCCUGCUGCAUGGUGGGGGUUGGAAAGUUUCGGCGGUUGGGGAUGGACUCGCGGCUUAUCAGCUUGUUGGUGGGGUAGUGGCUUACCAAGGCUUUGACGGGUAGCCGGCCUGAGAGGGUGACCGGCCACAUUGGAACUGAGAUACGGCCCAGACUCCUACGGGAGGCAGCAGUGGGGAAUAUUGCACAAUGGGCGGAAGCCUGAUGCAGCAACGCCGCGUGCGGGAUGACGGCCUUCGGGUUGUAAACCGCUUUCGCCUGUGACGAAGCGUGAGUGACGGUAAUGUGUAAAGAAGCACCGGCUAACUACGUG